rnacentral:lncRNA from 1 species
UUAACACAGUUCUUGAAACACUGGCCAGAGCAAUUAGACAGACGAAAGAAAUUAAAGGGAUACACACAGGAAAAGAAGAACUCACCCCCACCCCGUUUUAGACCUGCUGGUGCUGCCCCACGACCUCCACCAAAGCCCAUGUAAGGAACUGCAUCCUUAAUGAGUGAAGAAAAGCUUUCUUCUGGAAAAAAAUAAAAUGGAAAUUGUAAUUUAAAAAAAUAAGAACUCAAAUUGGCACUA